AUACUCUGUUUUUUCUUCAGAUCAUAUAAAUGUUUUGCCUUUUACUAAAGAUUUCCUUGGAGAGGAAUGAUUCUUAGUGUUUACCCAAUUUUUUGAGGCCUUGCGCUUGCAGGGCU
ensembl:snRNA U5 U5 spliceosomal RNA